UACGGGGGGAGCAAGCGUUGUUCGGAUUUACUGGGCGUAAAGGGCGCGUAGGCGGCCAGCACAAGUCAGUUGUGAAAUCUCCGAGCUUAACUCGGAAAGGUCAACUGAUACUGUGCGGCUAGAGUGCGGAAGGGGCAACUGGAAUUCUUGGUGUAGCGGUGAAAUGCGCAGAUAUCAGGAGGAACACCGAUGGCGAAGGCAGGUCUCUGGGCCACUACUGACGCUGAGAAGCGAAAGCAUGGGGAGCGAACAAG
rnacentral:rRNA from 1 species